rnacentral:rRNA from 1 species
GAUAACCGUAGUAAUUCUAGGGCUAAUACGUGCGAAGCGCCCGAAGCCGCGAGGCGACGGGCGUUCUCGCCGGAUGUAGGAACCGACCCGGGGACCGCCGGGGCAACCCGGCGCCCCCGAGACGGGGCGAACCACGGUGAAAUGACGGAUCGUCGGCCCCGCGCCGGCGACUCGCCGAAUGAGUUUCUGACCUAUCAACUCGAGACGGCGGGGUAGAGGCCCGCCGCGGUAACGACGGGUAACGGGGAAUCAGGGUUCGAUUCCGGAGAGGGAGCCCGAGAAACGGCUACCACUUCCAAGGAAGGCAGCAGGCGCGCAACUUACCCUAAUCUCGAUUCGAGGAGGUAGUGACAAGAAAUACCGAUGCGGGACCCUACGGGUGCCGCGUUCGGAAGUGAGUACGAUUCGAACCACCUAACGAGGAACGAAUCGGAGGGCAAGUUCUGGUGCCAGCAG